AAAAAAGGGGAAAUGUCUUCUUCUUCUUCAAAAAAGGUCCCCAUCUCUCUCUCACUUCUCUCUCUCAAAACUCCAUUGAAACCCCAUUUCCAAGCUCUUGUGAACCCAAAAAUCAGCCAUAAAACUUGUAGGUUUCUUAAUUAAAUUUUGUCUUUGGACCUUGCUAAGCAACCUAGGAGCAAAAAGAAGAAAGGAAUCAAAGGUUUGGGAAGAGGGAAAAACUCUAAUUGAGGUAAGUGAUUGAAUUUGAAAAU
rnacentral:misc_RNA from 1 species